UGCUUAACACAUGCAAGUCGAACGGAAAGGCCCUUCUUUUGUGGGGUGCUCGAGUGGCGAACGGGUGAGUAACACGUGAGUAACCUGCCCUUGACUUUGGGAUAACUUCAGGAAACUGGGGCUAAUACCGGAUAGGAGCUCCUGCUGCAUGGUGGGGGUUGGAAAGUUUCGGCGGUUGGGGAUGGACUCGCGGCUUAUCAGCUUGUUGGUGGGGUAGUGGCUUACCAAGGCUUUGACGGGUAGCCGGCCUGAGAGGGUGACCGGCCACAUUGGGACUGAGAUACGGCCCAGACUCCUACGGGAGGCAGCAGUGGGGAAUAUUGCACAAUGGGCGGAAGCCUGAUGCAGCAACGCCGCGUGCGGGAUGACGGCCUUCGGGUUGUAAACCGCUUUCGCCUGUGACGAAGCGUGAGUGACGGUAAUGGGUAAAGAAGCACCGGCUAACUACGUGCCAGCAGCCGCGGUGAUACGUAGGGUGCGAGCGUUGUCCGGAUUUAUUGGGCGUAAAGGGCUCGUAGGUGGUUGAUCGCGUCGGAAGUGUAAUCUUGGGGCUUAACCCCUGAGCGUGCUUUCGAUACGGGUUGACUUGAGGAAGGUAGGGGAGAAUGGAAUUUCCUGGUGGGAGCGGUGGAAUGCGCAGAUAUCAGGAGGAACACCAGUGGCGAAGGCGGUUCUCUGGGCCUUUCCUGACGCUGAGGAGCGAAAGCGUGGGGAGCGAACAGGCUUAGAUACCCUGGUAGUCCACGCUGUAAACGGUGGGUACUAGGUGUGGGGUCCAUUCCACGGGUUCCGUGCCGUAGCUAACGCUUUAAGUACCCCGCCUGGGGAGUACGGCCGCAGGGCUAAAACUCAAAGGAAUUGACGGGGCCCCGCACAAGCGGCGGAGCAUGCGGAUUAAUUCGAUGCAACGCGUAGAACCUUACCUGGGUUUGACAUGGAUCGGGAGUGCUCAGAGAUGGGUGUGCCUCUUUUGGGGUCGGUUCACAGGUGGUGCAUGCCUGUCGUCAGCUCGUGUCGUGAGAUGUUGGGUUAAGUCCCGCAACGAGCGCAACCCUUGUUCACUGUUGCCAGCACGUUAUGGUGGGGACUCAGUGGAGACCGCCGGGGUCAACUCGGAGGAAGGUGGGGAUGACGUCAAGUCCUCAUGCCCCUUAUGUCCAGGGCUUCACGCAUGCUACAAUGGCUGGUACAGAGAGUGGCGAGCCUGUGAGGGUGAGCGAAUCUCGGAAAGCCGGUCUCAGUUCGGAUUGGGGUCUGCAACUCGACCUCAUGAAGUCGGAGUCGCUAGUAAUCGCAGAUCAGCAACGCUGCGGUGAAUACGUUCCCGGGGCUUGUACACACCGCCCGUCAAGUCAUGAAAGUUGGUAACACCCGAAGCCGGUGGCCUAACCGUUGUGGGGGAGCCGUCGAAGGUGGGACUGGUGAUUAGGACUAAGU
rnacentral:rRNA from 1 species